rnacentral:rRNA from 1 species
AUUGAACGCUGGCGGCAGGCUUAACACAUGCAAGUCGAGCGGGGUGAUGGUGCUUGCACUAUCACUUAGCGGCGGACGGGUGAGUAAUGCUUAGGACUCUGACUCUUAGUGGGGGACAACAUCUCGGAAGGGAUGCUAAUACCGCAUACGUCCUACGGGAGAAAGCAGGGGAUGACGUGUGACCUUGCGAUAAUAGACGAGCCUACGUCGGAUUAGCUAGUUGGUGGGGUGAAGGGCUACCAAGGCCACGAUCUGGAACGGGCCUGAGAGGAUGAUCCGCCACAAUGGGACUGGGACACGGCCCAGACUCCUACGGGGGGCAGCAGUGGGGGAUAUUUGACAAUGGGGGGAACCCUGAUUCAGGCAUUCCGCGGGUGUGAAGAAGGGCUUAUGGUUGUAAAGCACUUUAAGCGAGGAGGAGGCGCUGUUGGUUAAUACCCAAGAGGAGUGGACGUUACUCGCAGAAUAAGCACCGGCUAACUCUGUGCCAGCAGCCGCCGUAA